rnacentral:rRNA from 1 species
UACGUAGGGCGCAAGCGUUGUCCGGAAUUAUUGGGCGUAAAGAGCUCGUAGGUGGCCAACUAAGUCAGACGUGAAAUCCCUCGGCUUAACCGGGGAACUGCGUCUGAUACUGGAUGGCUUGAGUUCGGGAGAGGGAUGCGGAAUUCCAGGUGUAGCGGUGAAAUGCGUAGAUAUCUGGAGGAACACCGGUGGCGAAGGCGGCAUCCUGGACCGACACUGACGCUGAUGAGCGAAAGCCAGGGGAGCAAAC